GGGCUCAUGGUUUCAGAAGUUUCCAUCCAUGCCUGCUUGGCCCUGCUAACUUUGGUCCUGUAGGUCCCAGUACAUCAUGGUGGGAGUGUGUGACAAAGGAGCACUAUUCACAUCACGAUGGCUGGGAAAACAGGGAGGGAGAGAGAAAGACAGGGAGGGACCCCCAACAUCCUCUUUAAAGAUGCACCCCCAGUGACCUAACUUUCUUCCACUAGGUACCAUCUUCUAAGGGUUCCACCACUUUCCAACAAGUGCUGUAGGCUGGUGACCAAGCCUCUAACACAGGAGACCUUUGGGCCCAGAUCUGGAGAGCAGGUGGGCAGCAGCAGGAUCCCGCAGGGCCAACAGCUCCAUGAACGGAUUCUGUGCUUUGGAGGGAACAGAGAAGAGUCACAGGCAGGGAGAGCUGCCAAGAUCCCCGCGGCCAAGCCGGAGGGAGGAAGGACUGCAAGUGCUUUGGAAAGAGUUUCUGGCAAGCCAGCACAUCAUUUUUAACCAAGAUGUCCAGUGUUCCUUGAAAAAGGGCAGCCUCGGGCAACAGAACCCCUCUCUGCCUCUCAGGAUCCAGCAGAAAAUCUGCUCUUUGGCUGGGGUGACCCCUCAGUUGUGUUAAAGGAAGCUUCUGUCCACCCAUGCUCCAUCGUCUCCCACACUGUAAAAGUAGUAUUUGUGUAAAUAAAUUUGGAGAACACAACAGCAGCCCAAAAAAGCAUAAUAAGAAAAGCCACCUAGCCAGCCUUCCCACACGCACUGUCCACAUUCUAGAGUCAGCUUCUGUUCUGGAGUGGUCCUGCGCUCAAGACUGUGCUCUGUAGUCUCCUGAUCUGUAGUAUUUGUCACUCUGUGUGAGUUACGGAUUAAAAACUGAUGGUCAAUUUAACACCAGCUGAAUUAAAUCAGCAUGGUGCUGAGCAUAGAUGUUGCACCUGAGGAAAGUUGCCUUCAUAAAUAGAGAGGUGGAGAAGGAGAAGCUAGGAUUUGUGGGUUUCUCUAAGUGUUGCUGUUUGAGCUGUUGGUUCUCCUGGAGGAGCUCAUCAUGACUAGCUUCCCCAGGGUGAGUUCGACCAUUAUUAUUGGAGGAGCUCAGGACCUUGUUGGUGAGAGUGGCUGUGGCUCACUUUGGGGGAGCUCUGGUCCUUACUUGGAGCAUCGCUUUCCUGGCUCUGGAAGGGAAGACAUGUGCUGUUUAAUCUCCAGGAGCUACUUGUCACGCUGGCUUUCUGGCAUGUACUCAACUGUUCUUACCCUCAGAGGAGCUCGGAACCUCUGUGUCGCUGAGGAUGGCUGUGGUGCUUUUAAGGACAGCCCUGGUUAUUUUGAGCGUGACUUCUUGGCUCCAGUGUAGCCAGUGUAGGUCCCUCAACCUAUCAGCAUAGCUCCUCACCCUGCUGGCAUAGACUUUCUAGCUUCCACCACUGAUAUUUGGAUCUUCCCAGCACGGGUCCAUAAAACGGGCGUGAGUCCUUCUCAUGGGCUCUAGACCACCAGUUAGACUAUGGGAAGCACUGUCAUGGGCUCUGGAUCUUCAUCUGGACUCAUGCAGACAUUGCUGUGGGAUCCGGGCCCUUGGCUGAAUAUUCUGGGUCUUUAGUGUUGUGGACAGAGUUCCUGUACUUUUUUGUGUUAAACUCUGGGUGACCACCAUAAAACAAUACAAAUUUUG